UACGGAAGGCAGCAGUGGGGAAUAUUGCACAAUGGGCGAAAGCCUGAUGCAGCUAUGCCGCGUGUAUGAAGAAGGCCUUAGGGUUGUAAAGUACUUUCAUCGGGGAGGAAAAACAAAACUAAUAAUUUUAUUUCUUGACGUUACCCGAAAAAGAAGCACCGGCUAACUCCGUGCCAGCAGCCGCGGUAAUACGGAGGGUGCUAGCGUUAAUCAGAAUUACUGGGCGUAAAGAGCACGUAGGUGGUUUUUUAAGUCAGAUGUGAAAUCCCUGGGCUUAACCUAGGAACUGCAUUUUGAAACUGAAAUACUAGAGUAUCGUAGAGGGAGGUAGAAUUCUAGGUGUAGCGGUGAAAUGCGUAGAUAUCUGGAGGAUACCUGUGGCGAAAGCGGCCUCCUAAACGAAUACUGACACUGAGGUGCGAAAGCGUGGGGAGCAAACAGGGAUUAGAUACC
rnacentral:rRNA from 1 species